GAUGAGCAUGCGUCCCAUUAGCUAGUUGGUAAGGUAACGGCUUACCAAGGCUACGAUGGGUAGGGGUCCUGAGAGGGAGAUCCCCCACACUGGUACUGAGACACGGACCAGACUCCUACGGGAGGCAGCAGUGAGGAAUAUUGGACAAUGGGCGCAAGCCUGAUCCAGCCAUGCCGCGUGCAGGAAGACGCAUCUAUGGUGUGUAAACUGCUUUUGUACGGGAAGAAACACCCCCUCGUGAGGGGGCUUGACGGUACCGUAAGAAUAAGGAUCGGCUAACUCCGUGCCAGCAGCCGCGGUAAUACGGAGGAUCCAAGCGUUAUCCGGAAUCAUUGGGUUUAAAGGGUCCGUAGGCGGUUUGAUAAGUCAGUGGUGAAAGCCCAUCGCUCAACGAUGGAACGGCCAUUGAUACUGUCAGACUUGAAUUAUUGUGAAGUAACUA
rnacentral:rRNA from 1 species